rnacentral:rRNA from 4 species
AAGUGUGGACGCCAGUCUGCAUGGAGCCGACCUUGAAAUACCACCCUUUAAUGUUUGAUGUUCUAACGUGGACCCGUAAUCCGGGUUGCGGACAGUGUCUGGUGGGUAGUUUGACUGGGGCGGUCUCCUCCUAAAGAGUAACGGAGGAGCACGAAGGUUGGCUAAUCCUGGUCGGACAUCAGGAGGUUAGUGCAAUGGCAUAAGCCAGCUUGACUGCGAGCGUGACGGCGCGAGCAGGUGCGAAAGCAGGUCAUAGUGAUCCGGUGGUUCUGAAUGGAAGGGCCAUCGCUCAACGGAUAAAAGGUACUCCGGGGAUAACAGGCUGAUACCGCCCAAGAGUUCAUAUCGACGGCGGUGUUUGGCACCUCGAUGUCGGCUCAUCACAUCCUGGGGCUGAAGUAGGUCCCAAGGGUAUGGCUGUUCGCCAUUUAAAGUGGUACGCGAGCUGGGUUUAGAACGUCGUGAGACAGUUCGGUCCCUAUCUGCCGUGGGCGCUGGAGAACUGAGGGGGGCUGCUCCUAGUACGAGAGGACCGGAGUGGACGCAUCACUGGUGUUCGGGUUGUCAUGCCAAUGGCACUGCCCGGUAGCUAAAUGCGGAAGAGAUAAGUGCUGAAAGCAUCUAAGCACGAAACUUGCCCCGA